rnacentral:rRNA from 1 species
GCAUAACGCGAAGAACCUUACCAGGGCUUGACAUCCCUCUGACCCCUCUAGAGAUAGAGGUUCCCGUUCGGGCGAGAGGUGACAGGUGGUGCAUGGUUGCCGUCAGCUCGUGUCGCGAGAUGUUGGGUUAAGUCCCGCAACGAGCGCAACCCUUCGUCCUUAGUUGCCAGCAUUUAGUUGGGCACUCUAAGGAGACUGCCGUCGACAAGACGGAGGAAGGUGGGGAUGACGUCAAAUCAUCAUGCCCCUUAUGUCCUGGGCUACACACGUGCUACAAUGGAUGGUACAACGGGCUGCGAACUCGCGAGAGCAAGCCAAUCCCAAAAAACCCAUUCUCAGUUCGGAUUGUAGGCUGCAACUCGCCUACAUGAAGUCGGAAUCGCUAGUAAUCGCGGAUCAGCAUG